rnacentral:rRNA from 1 species
UGCAUAGAUAUGACACAGAACACCGAUAGCGAAGGCAGCUCACAAAAUUACAACUGACACUGAGGCACGAAAGCGUGGGUAUCAAACAGGAUUAGAUACCCUGGUAGUCCACGCUGUAAACGAUGAUCACUAGCUGUUUGCGAUACAUUGUAAGUGGUUAAGCGAAAGCGAUAAGUGAUCCACCUGGGGAGUACGUCGGCAACGAUGAAACUCAAAGGAAUUGACGGGGGCCCGCACAAGCGGAGGAGCAUGUGGUUUAAUUCGAUGAUACGCGAGGAACCUUACCUGGGCUUGAACGUAUGGUGCAUGAGUGUGAAAGCACUCUUUCCUUCACAGGACUUCAUACGAGGUGCUGCAUGGUUGUCGUCAGCUCGUGCCGUGAGGUGUUAGGUUAAGUCCUGCAACGAGCGCAACCCCUGUUUUUAGUUGCCAGCAGGUUAUGCUGGGCACUCUAGAAAGACUGCCUGCGCAAGCAGAGAGGAAGGUGGGGAUGACGUCAAAUCAGCACGGCCCUUACGUCCAGGGCUACACACGUGCUACAAUGGUCGGCACAGAAGGUGGCUACCCGGCAACGGGAUGCUAAUCUCCAAAGUCGAUCUUAGUUCGGAUCGAAGUCUGCAACUCGACUUCGUGAAGUUGGAUUCGCUAGUAAUCGUAUAUCAGCCAUGAUACGGUGAAUACGUUCCC